rnacentral:rRNA from 1 species
AUUGAACGCUGGCGGCAGGCCUAACACAUGCAAGUCGAACGGUAACAGGAAACAGCUUGCUGUUUCGCUGACGAGUGGCGGACGGGUGAGUAAUGUCUGGGAAACUGCCUGAUGGAGGGGGAUAACUACUGGAAACGGUAGCUAAUACCGCAUAACGUCGCAAGACCAAAGAGGGGGACCUUCGGGCCUCUUGCCAUCGGAUGUGCCCAGAUGGGAUUAGCUAGUAGGUGGGGUAACGGCUCACCUAGGCGACGAUCCCUAGCUGGUCUGAGAGGAUGACCAGCCACACUGGAACUGAGACACGGUCCAGACUCCUACGGGAGGCAGCAGUGGGGAAUAUUGCACAAUGGGCGCAAGCCUGAUGCAGCCAUGCCGCGUGUAUGAAGAAGGCCUUCGGGUUGUAAAGUACUUUCAGCGGGGAGGAAGGGAGUAAAGUUAAUACCUUUACUCAUUGACGGUACCCGCAGAAGAAGCACCGGCUAACUCCGUG